AGAGCAAGAAGUAUUGGCAGCAGCAGGCAGCCAGGCAGGCUGGGAGUUUGCAUGGAAAUCAUGAAGUCUUUCUUGUCUUCCUCUUUUGAAAUAUUUUGGAAGGCGAGUUAAGAAUAGCUCAGAAACUGGUCUCAUUCUUUUUGUGGGAAGAAUGACCAGAAGCAUAAAAGCUAAGUCUUCCAGCAAGUGCAAGACACCUCUUUUGGUGUUUGCAGUAAACCUAACAAGAAUGAAUUGCUAUCAGUAAAGUCCUGUACCAUGACACCUAAAAGGAAGGAAAUGGUAAAGCAAAGUAAUAACUCAAAGACAGUCACCGAGGGCUUUUGUCCACCUUUAACUCAUUGUGGCAAAGUUGGACAUUCCAAAGAUGGCGUAGAUGAACAUGACCAGGAAGAGCAGGAGGCCGAUGUUAAACAACGCAGGAAGGGACAUCAUCAAAGCAAAGAGCAGCGUGCGGAUCCCCUUUGCUCCUUUGACUAGACGUAGGAUUCGGCCAAUCCUGGCAAGACGGAUCACUCGGAACAGGGUAGCAGAGAUCUCUGGAGGUGAAACAUUGCUCUGAACUGGCAUUGAUUCUAGCCCAGCUCUUGUAGACCAAUUACCAACUUCUCCAUCUCCCUCCAGUGCCUGGAACUGGACCUGGCACACAGGCCUCUGGCUCAUCGGAAUUCAUAGGUUCAGCCUCUGCUUCUUCUCCUUCUCCAGGCAAAGGGUUAUCAACUGUGCUG
rnacentral:lncRNA from 1 species